UGUGUGUGUGCAUAUGUGCCUCUGUGUGCACAUGGGUUGCUAGUAAUCUUUUAAAGUUGUAUUAGCAUGUAUUUAAAUUCCUUUAUGGAAAUUCCUAGAUUCUGAGUUGGCUGUAUUAAAGUAAAUAAUUUGACUUAGCUAUUAGUCUUGAACCUUCCCUACGAGUCAUUUUAUUAAAAUUUCAUUCUUCUGCUUGGCUGUGUUGUUAGUUUUGUUAUAAGACAGGUUCUUGCUGUUUUGCCCAGGCUUGUUGAAGUAGUCCUCUGUCUCCUGUUUAUCUAGGACCACAGGUGCUUACCUCCAUCCUCUUAUCUAUUCAGCUAUUCUUCUCUGCCUAUUAUCAGGCUUUAUGUUUUUUUCAUUUCUAGCAUUAUGAUUCUUUUGAGAUUUGUAGAAUUUCAAAUGAUUCCAUCAUUCAUAGUAUCUUUCCUCAUUUUUACCUCAUUUUGAACUUCGAGUAUUUUUAUUUUUUCCAUUGUUUUACAUUUAUAUAAAAGUAAUUUCAUUUCAGAUAUGCUUAUUCUCUGGUUUGCUACCCUAGUCUCACUUGAUAUUGUUAUAAAAAUCUAUGUUUUGGUACCAUGAUAAAUUAAAGUUUAUAAAAGUUUUCUGAAAUAACUAAACAUUUGACAUAUAUUUAUAUAAACUUAAAAUAAUGUUUAUUAUAGACAUUUUGAGAUAUUUCAUUUGGUGAUUUCAUUAUUGUGCUAAAAUAUAAAAAUAUAAGUUGUAUGUAUUCAAACUAAGAUGGCCACAAUUUUUAUAUAACAUGAGCUUAUAUGAGUUACUAAAUCAGCUGGAUAUCUACUGUUUUUUAAAUAAUUAAGUUUCAUUAGGUUAAUUUUAUUUACUUCUAAUUCCAUGAUAAAUAUGACCUCUAAUUUUUAACACCUUCUACCUUUGAAAUUUUUAAAGUAUAAAACCUUAAAAUGUAUCUGAUCUAACUCUAAACUGUGAGUCUUCAUAGUUUGUGGCACCUAAAUAUUAGAAUUAAAUUUAGAACUUAUCAUUAGUGACUCAUCUACAUGGAUCAGUGGUUUUAUUUAAUUCAAAACUUUAAAAUUCACCAUACCUUCUUAUUGUAGUAACAAAUCAUAUGUAUUAAAGGCUAUUUAGUAUGUAUUUCAGUAUUGCAUCUUUUUUUAUGAUACCCUAGAACUUAUUAUGUAGACAAAUAUACUGCUUGCUUGGCUUAAUAAUAGAUCUUAAGCCAAGCAAGCAUGCCUUAUGUUCAUAUAGUUUUUUGAUGUAUAGACCCACCUUCUCUUACUCUCUCUCUCUCUGUUUUUUUUUUCUUUUCUUUUCUUUUUUUUCUUUUUUAACAAAUUAUAUUGCCCUGUAAUUUGGAAUGGAAAACAUGGCUUUUAUGAAAUACAUACAGAGUUUUGACUUUUUAAAAAACAUUUUAUUUUUUAAUGUGUAUGAAUAUUAAACACACAUGCAUUUCUGUACACUACAUGGGUGCCUGUUCCCUAAGGAAGUCAGAAGAGCUGUCAGAUCUCAUGGUUCUGGAAUUAUGGAUGGUUGUGAGCUGCCAUAUGGCUUCUUGGAACUGAACCUAGGACUUCUAGAAGAACAGCUAUUGUCUGUAACUCCUGAGCCAUCUCUCUAGUUUCAACUCUUUAUGCAAUGUUAAUAUUUUUGAGUUCUAUUCCAUUGAUACUUAUUUAAAUUUUUUAUAGGUAGGCAUGAAUCCUGGAAUUAUUUGAAAGUUUAAUUGUUUUUUAAAUUUAUUAAAUUUCAUAGUCAGAAAUAAUAGUCUGACGCCAAUAAAAUUUAUAGUUUGAGAAUAACCUUAACAUGUUUCUAUUAAUUUGUAACCUAGCAAUUAUAAUACUUGUUACUAAAGGAAAACAAAUUAAUUCAAAAUUACCUAUUUGCAAAAUGUUUGUGUACAACAUGUAAACUUGUAUUACCUGUAACCAUAAUGUUAAAAAUUAUAAAAUGGCCAAAAAGAUGGCUUUGUUCUUAAGAGCACUUGUUGCUCUUGCAGGUCUCUGUUUGGUACCCAGCACAUGGUCGCUUUUAGGUAGUCUAGGUCCAGGGGAUCUGAUGCCCUUUUCUGUCCUUUGAGGACACCAAAUAGGCAAAUACAGUGACAAUGCUUGUACACUUAAAAUAAUAAAUUCAAAAUAUAUACCUAUGAGUUUGAAGUCUUAAUGAUUAUACAAGUACCUCUAGGAGAGAAUGUUUUAAAAAAGAUUUAUUUUUGUUUUUUGUGUUUAAGAUAUUUGCCCAUAUGAAUUUGUACCACAUGUGUAUGUCUAGUUCUCAUGAAUUUGAAGAGAAGGCACUGUCUCACCUGAACUAGAAUUACAGGUGUUUAUAAUGAAACUGGGUCCGCAGCAAGUUUCUGUAAUUGUUUAGCAAUCUCUACAGCCCUGAAGAUAAAUUUGGACAAGGCAGAAAAAAUGAACUUCGUGGAUUUUGGAUUGUCCAGAAAGCUAAUUUGGCAAUAGUUUUUAGUAGAAUGUAGGGAAAAAAUGUAAUGGCAAUAUUGUUGCUAAUUUUUGUGUAAAUAUUUAAAGUUUAAUGAAAAUUUGAGGAAGGAAUACAUUAGGGUGAUAAUUUUAAUUCUAUUUAUAUUGGAAUUGAGGAAAGAAAUUAGAAAAUUAUAACCAGUAUAAAGAAUGCUUACUAAUUCAUUCCAUAAAUGCUUAUUAAUGCCUAAUAACUAGUAAUUUUGAUUUUUAAAAAAAAAUAAAGUAUACAUUAUGUAUUUUAUAUUUUUUUCUCUUUUUAAAGGAGUCUAGGUAAAAAUGGUUUGUCUAAUGGUCAUAUUCUCUUGGAUAUAUGCCCACCUCCAAGACCACCAACUUCGCCAUAUCCUCCUUUACCAAAGGAGAAGUUGAAUCCACCCACUCCUAGUAUUUAUGUGAGUCUGAUUAACUAAAUAGAAAUAAGUCAAUAUUAUGGACUAACUUGAAUGAUACUAUAAGGUAAAUUAAUCUUUAGGGAACAAUAAAUUUUUACUCCUAAUGAGUUGAAUAUAUCAGAAAUAGAUACUUGUAUUAUGAAAAUUACUUUAAAAAUAGGUGCUCUUAAUGUAAAUAUAAAAAAUGUUUAUUAUCUAGUCUCUGGAAGAAAAUUUUGUUUACAGAUGGUGAAUUAAAGGAUAUUUUUAAUGGAUUAUUAGCUCACUGAAACAAAACUUUUCUAUUGUUAGCUUUUAAUGAAUACUUCUCUGUAUCCAUAGUUUUUCUAACAUUUGUCAGCAGUAAAAAAGCUGAUGAACUUUUUUUUAUCAAAUUUGUCAUUCUUAAGGAUUGUAAAGUUGCAAUGAGGUAUCAAAAUGACAUGAAUCUAGUGCCACACCUAGCACUUGGAAAAAUUGGCCUUCUGAUCUCUAUGAAUUAGAGGAUAUUUUGUUCUUCAUGAUGAGUUUUCAUUCUAGCCAGGAAUACGUAGUAAGACUCUAAGCAACAUAAAGCAAGCCCCAAACCCAAGAUAACACAUUUUUUUUUUCUGGAAGUAUUUGUAUUCUCUAUCCUUGCUCAUUUUUCCUAAAUGAAAUAAUGAAAAUUCUAGGCAAGUAAGUAAUAAUGUAGUAUAAUGUUGUACAUGUGUGUAUACAUAAAUAUAUACAUAUAAUAUAUACAUAUAUAUCAUACAUAUUCAUAUAUGUGGGUUGUAUUGAUUGUCUUCUGUCAACACAUUACAUAAAUCUUAUUGUAUAAAAAGGUUUGAAAAAGAGACUUGUAAGAGGUGGGAAACUUUAAAAAAAUGUUGAAAAUAAAAACAAAAUUUAGAUUUGUUCCUUUUGGGCCUAACUAGUUCAUUUUACAUGUUCAUACUAGUUUUAAAAAUGAACACAAUAUUAAGCUCAUAAUUUAGCACAUCUUUUAUGAAAAUAAGUGAACAAAAUGCAUUUAAAACAAAGUUGGAAAAAAUUUGCAUUAACUAAAAUAUUUGUCUGUCACCUUAGAAGUCCUAAUGUGAUAUCAGAAAUAAC
rnacentral:lncRNA from 1 species